rnacentral:lncRNA from 1 species
GCAAGCAACGUUGUUCUUGGAGGCAGAAUGUCACUGAAGACCUGCUCUUCACGCUGGCAAAGGAAGUACUUAAGCAACGUGAUGUUUGUUAAAACUGCAAAAUAUCUUCUAAACGUGUUUUUGCGCAACACUGGAGAAAAAUGCGAGUGCACGUGUGCAAGGCACACCAUCUGCUCACCCUGACGUGGUGCCCACACUUCCAGACCCUACCAGGACUCCUUUCCCCCACUUAUGGCUUCACUCCAGCAUCUAACCUAAGCACGACAGCGACAGCCAUACAAACAGCAAUCAUCCUGGCUCAUUCAUGUGCUAAUUGACCAGCUGGAGCAGGACCACCACCUCUCAACACAGCACGGCCACACCAGACUUGAGGAGUCCUUGUCAUAGGAAGAAAAGCACACAAGGCGGUGUGCAUCUGGUCCCCUGGUGAUUUACAAGCUCCCUUUCUCCUCGCAGUCUCUGUUUGGUGCAUGGGAGAGGGGAAGGAAGAAGCUGCUCAAACUGGCAGGUUCUCCCGACAACGUGUCUUUCUCUGUGGCAGCUGUGUGGGUGUGCUUGGGGAGAGAAGGUAAAACAACAUGGGGUGGGGGUAAAUUCCAGAGGGGUCUUUCUUUGUCCUUUCCCUGAAUAUACUUUGGAGAAAAUUAUGUGAGUGAAGAGUCGACAGAGAGAGAGAGGAGGAAAGCACGAUGCUGUGUGCAGCGGUGCCUGCACAGGUAGGAUCACUCAUCUCCCCAGAGGUUUGGCUCCUGCUGACCCAAGCCUGACAAGCUCCUGUCUCCUCUCCCAGCUCAUUGUCACAGGUGAUUUAAAGCACAGCUCAGCUCUGCAGCCUCUGUCACUGCCCAUCUCCCUGUCCUUCUGCUGGCCAUCUCCUUCCUUUCCUGGGUGUCACAGAAAAAGCCUUGCUUUCUGCUUGUGCCAGGGAGCAUUGCUGCAGGGUGGGAGAGGC